GAAGGGUGAGGGGUCUUGUGGGAGAGAGGGUUUGCAGUGGGAUGGUUUAGAGGGACAAGAGUGACAGUUGUCAAGGAGUGGUGGAGAGGCUGAUGUGCUCAGUACAUGGUUAUUGAGGCCUCCCUGCCAGGUCAGGCUGGACUGUGCAGAGUAGGCUGGGUUGACAUGGCAGUGAGCAUGGCCUUGCCUGGUGGGUGAAGAGAAAAGGGAGGUUACCAGGAGGGAGGUGGGGUGCUGGAGCUUUACAGGAGCUCAGGCAAGCUGAAAGGAAGAGAGAGAGAGAGAGAGAGAGAGAGAGAGAGAGUGUGUGUGUGUGUGUGUGUGUGUGUGUGUGUGUGUUGUGGGGGAGGGACGUUGCAAGAGCCAGGGCCAUGUGGAAAACAUAGUGGGCUGAAGAAUCAGACUCUGUAAUUUAGAAUCAAUUUCACAAACAAGACCCAUAUGUACCUUACUUAAGAGGACUAAAUUAGCAGCCUGGUUUGGAGGAACCAUUGUAGCUUGUGCUGAUUCAGUGGAGCCUUGAGGUUUGAGCUGCUGCUACUGAUUCAUGUGUGCUGUUCAUCCAGUGGGCUGCACUGCUGCUACUGAUUCAUGUGUGGUGGUCAUCCAGUGGGCUGCACUGCUGCUGCUGAUUCAUGUGUGGUGUUCAUCCAGUGGGCUGCACUGCUGCUGCUGAUUCAUGUGUGGUGUUCAUCCAGUGGGCUGCACUGCUGCUGCUGAUUCAUGUGUGGUGUUCAUCCAGUGGGCUGCACUGCUGCUGCUGAUUCAUGUGUGGUGUUCAUCCAGUGGGCUGCACUGCUGCUGCUGAUUCAUGUUUGGUGGUUUGUUAGUGGACUGAGCUACUGAUAAACGGACAAAGACGAUUGGAACCACCCCAAAGAACUAUUUUUAAACAGUUCCACAUGCUCCUUUUUCCCUAUUAACAUUUCUUUUGUACUACCUCUGGUUGGUGUGGGAGGUUAGAAGGGAGUUUGAAGCAUUAAAGAACCCAUUAAAAGUAGGUUUUGAAAACAAACAAACAAACAAACAAACAAAACUAAGCCUAUAGGUGAUGCCCAAUGUGGCUUAGGCAAAAUGGAUAGCUCACCUUUUAAUGUAGUAGACAAAAAGGCAAAUUGUGAGGGGUUAACAUGUUGUUUGAGAAAGUUGGCAAAACAGCCACUGCGUCUGCGUGGCUUCCUACCUUGUCCCUGGAGGGAGAUGUCUGGUUUUGUUUUGUAGUCUUCAUGCAUACCAUUUUGAAAAAGAAUGGGGUGAAAGCUGAAAACUCAGAAGGUUCACGCAAUUUUCUUGUGUUAGAAAGGACUGCAGAGUUGGCUCUGCACAGAGAGUAUGAGAGGCUGAAGUGCUUGGGAAGCAAAGAGAGCCAGUGUGAGAACAACAGGGUUCAGGCUUAGUGUCGGAGACCAGGAAUUCACUGCAUGAUGGAGGGAAGGAAGCAAACUAGGCUGGAUGGUAAACUACCACCCUGCCUGGCUCCACAGACUUUCUCUGUCAGGUCAGGGUUGGAGAGAGCAGGAGACGGUCCAGGGAUGUACUACCUUGCCUGGGCCUAAGCUUUUCAUGGCCAUUAUGACUCAAGAUCUCCAUGUCAAGAUUCUGGUCAGAAGCCUGUGUCUUCCAGCUUCAAGAUCUGGAUCACAGGUGAGCCCUUCAUUUCUGAAUUGUAGUUCACUCCAGGUGUAGUCAAGUUUGACAACCAGGAAUAGUCACACAUUUUGUAUUUUUCCUUUUUUAGCUUGCCUUUUCAUUAAAAUGUUCUUCAUAAAGAGUGAACUUUAGUAACCACAAUACAAAAUCAUUAUUAUUAUUAUUUCAUCUUUUUUUUAACAGUCCAGUCGUUAUCACCCUCCCAGUCCACCCUCUGACAGUUCCCUCAUCCCAUUCCUCCGACCCCAUCUCCAACAUACAAUAAAAUUUAUAGCAGGCUGUUUUGAGACUUCCUUUGUCAAAGCAAUUAAUCUAAAUCUCUUUACCUUAGCCUCAGGCAGACUCUUUGAACAAUGGCAAAAAGUAGUCCUAUUUUUCACCAAAAUAUCACAAGAAACUCUCAGUCACAUACUAACACUCUUUUCCACCGAAACCUCUUGGACCAGGUCUGCCCAGUUCAGAUCAUCCUCAGCACCACUGUCUUCCAUUAAUUCCCACAUAAAGGAUUCUCCUGCUUCCCAGAUCCACAUCCUCCAAACAAAACCAUAACCAGGCCUAUCACAGCAAUACCCCAGUUUAUGGUGCCAACUUCUGUCUUAGUUAGGGUUUCCAUUGUUGUGAAGAGACUCCCAUGGCCAAAGCAUAUUCAAACUACUACAUGUGUCCAUGGUCCAAAACAGGAUAUCCAGGGAUUGAAUUUCCACAUUUUAAAAGGGGGCACUGCUGACAUACCAACAUCCUUGCCCUUACAGACCUGUAUGGCAAGAGCAGUGGCCAAUAAUAAAAGAAAAAUUGCAGGCACUUGAACAACUGGUACAAGAUCAGCUGGAGGCUCAACAGAUAUAAGAGUUUACCAGCUCAUGGAAUUCACCUGUGUUGUAAGACUCUAUAAGAAGACCAUUGUCCUGAUCCCUUAAAUUGGGGUGGGAAGCAAAGUCGGGAGUGAAUACGAGAAACAAGUGAUGGAAGUUGGAUGAAAGUGGAGGUAAAGAGAAGACGUUUGAAAAUAUGUUGGAACUCCGUGGGGCCUCUGCAGUCUUGCCUGGCUAGGUCUCUCUCUGCGUUCCAAGGUUGUCGUUUCCUUGGAGACCAGACGCUGCCAGCAGAAAGCUCGCCUAGUCUCCUUGGGAUCCGUUCUUAGACAAGAGGCGGCAGAAGCCUCACCGGUAUCUGGAGACAGCCUAUACCCAGAGGACCUGGAUUCUUUUCCCCAAUGGCACAGAAACAAACCUCGAGACCUCAAUUCUCAGGGAACAAGUUUCAAGUACCUGUGAGAUUGGGGCCAGAGAAGAACUUGAAGCCAUCUACUCUGCCUCCCCUCCGACAAGUCAAAGGCCGCAACAAAAGCAAGACGAAGAAUCUGAAUAAAAUCCAACCAGCAGUACAGUCCCAGGUCUCUGUAGAGAUGGCAAACUCAACAAAGACUUCAGGAGGACUUCGAAGAAGGGACCAAACGCACCACGGGAAAGUGCAGGCCAAGGUCCGGCUGAUGAGGUCGAUGCUUCGAAACCAGCGGACCUCGCUCCAGGAGCUCUACAGCCACGAAGGCUACCUCAGCAAGCUCAACAAGGAGCUGAUCAAGGCCAUCCUGGACACUGAGGACAGCGUGGCCUUGAGCGUGCGUGAAAUGCUACAGCAGCAGAGUAUCCUCGGGAGUAUCAUCGACAUCUUGGAAUAUUCAAACAAGAAGCGGGUGCAGCAGCUGAGGUCUGAGCUCCAGGAGUGGAAAGAGAAGGAGGAGAGCAAGACAAACAGCCUUCAGAGGGAGGUGGAUCAGCUGAACUCCGAGAUCCAGAAGGCCAGCGAGGAGGUGAAUUUCCUGGACACCUACAUGGAUCACGAGUAUCCCGUCAAGUUGGUUCAGAUCGCCAGCCACAUACGCCAGGUGCAGCAGGCAAAGGACAACCAGCAGGAUGAGCUGGACAACCUUAGCGAGAUGCGGGAAACCAUCCUGGCACUUUUUUCCAACGUAAUUCAAGAGAAGAAGAAGAAAAUCCUGAAGUCUCUGGUCGUGAAUACUCAGAAACCCCAUGAGAACAUACUGCUGCUGAAGACCCUGGACAGACGGCGACUGCAGAGGUGCAUGGUCUUGUUCAGAGAGGUGAGGACAGCAGGAAGGUCACGGCCUCUGGGACUGAGCAGCUUAUUGAACAGAUGAAAGAAGAGAUUCCCAUCCUACUCUCAGAGGUGGAGCAGAUGUGUGCAGAGCUCUGGAACCCGAGAGAGGCCGUUUAUAAGGAUGUUCUGCUUCAGAGACCCAAGUGCACCCCAGACAUGGCUGUUGAGCUCAACAUUCCUGUGCAGGAGCCAUUCCCCUUCUAGAUGCAGUGUUGCCCCUCUUCUCCCUCCUCCCUUCCCAGCACCAGGGGUUCCGGCUGGUGACUUACAAGAUGGUAUCUCUGUUAUGAAUCUGACCCACAGCGCCCUCUUCUACCCCUCUCCCUUGCUGUUUGGACUAGGCAGGAGUUCCUAGUCCAGCCUGCUUGUUCCUUGGUGCCAAUAAAGCUGUGUUUGUGUUUGCUUGG